GGGAGGGUGAUCUCGGACCCUCAACGGAAGGUAUUGUUCUUGUGUCGAGAUUUUGUCUCUCGUAUUCCAUGGAGAGCCCAAAGGGUUCCCGGAAUUUAAGAAGCACCUUGACUAAUGGAGAUAUGACUUGUAAGCUCAUGGGAGAAAUGUCAAUAUUGUGCAAAAUAUUAAUUAUGCAUAUUGCGCUUGCGGGAGUUCAAACCACCAACCAAGGCUUAAAGGCCUUACCUUUACAUCCACAAAAUACAAGAGAGACAAAAUCCCAACACAUGAACGAUACUUUUCGUUGGGGUUUGAGACCGACAUUCCUU
rnacentral:pre_miRNA from 1 species